AGAGUGUCACCGAUCGCGGACUGCUGCGGGUGAACGCUAGGCGGCGCACUCCGACGUGAAAUCACUCGGGCCAUCCAGAACCCAGACCUCAGACCACUCACCAAUAGGAAGAUACUGAGUGUUUCUUUAUUUGGAUUUGGAUGAAUAACUUCUGGGUUAAUGUUUUGAGGGUUGAUCCAACUGGCUGCAUCACAUUUCACCUGGAGAGAAAGAAGAGUCAGGUAUGAAGCAUACUGGGGAAGUAAAUGAAGACUGUCAUCAAUGCUUGGUUGUGAUGCACAAAUCUCCCCACAAGGGUGCAGUCAUGCACUGGAAGGGUUUUGCUACUUACAAGAUCGAUGUACUGAGCUGCUCUGCUUUGAGAGAGAGGUCAGCAAUGCACUUCUCAUCGCUUCCACAGUCCACUAAGGGAAUCUACGAGAUAGAGAAGCACAUUUUCGAGAUGUAAAGCCAUAUCUUAAAUCUUAAAGCCCCCCUCCAGUCAAAAACAUAUUGUUUCUCUGUGAGCAUUAACAUUAAAUCAGAGUUUAAGAUG